rnacentral:rRNA from 1 species
CGAAGCAACGCGAAGAACCUUACCAGGCCUUGACAUGCAGAGAACUUUCCAGAGAUGGAUUGGUGCCUUCGGGAACUCUGACACAGGUGCUGCAUGGCUGUCGUCAGCUCGUGUCGUGAGAUGUUGGGUUAAGUCCCGCAACGAGCGCAACCCUUGCCUUUAGUUGCCAGCAGUUCGGCUGGGCACUCUAAAGGGACUGCCGGUGUUAAACCGGAGGAAGGUGGGGAUGACGUCAAGUCCUCAUGGCCUUUAUGACCAGGGCUACACACGUACUACAAUGGCCGAUACAAAGGGCAGCGACACUGCGAGGUGAAGCCAAUCCCGUAAAAUCGGUCUCAGUCCGGAUUGGAGUCUGCAACUCGACUCCAUGAAGUUGGAAUCGCUAGUAAUCGUGGAUCAGCAUGCCACGGUGAAUACGUUCCCGGGCCUU